rnacentral:rRNA from 1 species
UACGUAGGGUGCGAGCGUUGUCCGGAAUUAUUGGGCGUAAAGGGCUCGUAGGCGGUUUGUCGCGUCGGGAGUGAAAACCCAGGGCUUAACUCUGGGCUUGCUUUCGAUACGGGCAGACUAGAGGCAUGCAGGGGAGAACGGAAUUCCUGGUGUAGCGGUGAAAUGCGCAGAUAUCAGGAGGAACACCGGUGGCGAAGGCGGUUCUCUGGGCAUGUCCUGACGCUGAGGCACGAAGGCCAGGGGAGCAAACGGG